GAUGAACGCUGGCGGCGUGCCUAAUACAUGCCAGUCGAGCGAACGGACGAGAAGCUUGCUUCUCUGAUGUUAGCGGCGCACGGGUGAGUAACACGUGGAUACCCUACCUAUAAGACUGGGAUAACUUCGGGACACCGGAGCUAAUACCGGAUAAUAUUUUGAACCGCAUGGUUCAAAAGUGAAAGACGGUCUUGCUGUCACUUAUAGAUGGAUCCGCGCUGCAUUAGCUAGUUGGUAAGGUAACGGCUUACCAAGGCAACGUUGCAUAGCCGACCUGGGAGGGUGAUCGGCCACACUGGAACGGAGACACGGUCCAGACUCCUACGGGAGGCAGCAGUAGGGAAUCUUCCGCAAUGGGCGAAAGCCUGACGGAGCAACGCCGCGUGAGUGAUGAAGUUCUUCGGAUCGUAAAACUCUGUUAUUAGGGAAGAACAUAUGUGUAAGUAACUGUGCACAUCUUGACGGUACCUAAUCAGAAAGCCACGGCUAACUACGUG
rnacentral:rRNA from 1 species